GACUACCGGGGUAUCUAAUCCUGUUUGCUCCCCACGCUUUCGUGCAUGAGCGUCAGUGCAGGCCCAGGGGAUUGCCUUCGCCAUCGGUGUUCCUCCGCAUAUCUACGCAUUUCACUGCUACACGCGGAAUUCCAUCCCCCUCUGCCGCACUCUAGCCGUACAGUCACAAAUGCAGUUCCCAGGUUAAGCCCGGGGAUUUCACAUCUGUCUUGUACAACCGCCUGCGCACGCUUUACGCCCAGUAAUUCCGAUUAACGCUUGCACCCUACGUAUUACCGCGGCUGCUGGCACGUAGUUAGCCGGUGCUUAUUCUUCAGGUACCGUCAUUACCUCAAGGUAUUAUCCUAAGGCGUUUCUUCCCUGACAAAAGCGGUUUACAACCCGAAGGCCUUCUUCCCGCACGCGGCAUGGCUGGAUCAGGCUUGCGCCCAUUGUCCAAAAUUCCCCACUGCAGCCUCCCGUAGG
rnacentral:rRNA from 1 species